ensembl:snRNA U4 U4 spliceosomal RNA
AGCUUUGUGCAGUGGCAGUAUCGUAGCCAAUGAGGUUUAUCCGAGAUGCAGUUAUUGCUAAUUGAAAACUUUUUCCAAUACCCCACCAAGAUGACCUGAAAUAUAGUUGGCAUUGGCAAUUUUUGGCAGUCCCUACGGGGA